rfam:Anopheles merus strain MAF unplaced genomic scaffold supercont2.337, whole genome shotgun sequence.
AGCAAUACCGCACUGAUACGGGUAUGGUCCGACACCUCUCGAAGGUUAAUGUAGGAUCUCCAUACCCUACUCCGACUCAAUACGUCCACGGCGUACAGAACGGUAACAUAUCUCUCCAAUAAUCUGAGAUUGGGUACACGGAGAAACCCAACCCCUUGGGAGGAUGGGUUAUGUGGCUAAAUUGAGCGGG